rnacentral:rRNA from 1 species
UAGAGUUUGAUCAUGGCUCAGAUUGAACGCUGGCGGCAGGCCUAACACAUGCAAGUCGGACGGCAGCGGGAGGAAGCUUGCUUCCUUGCCGGCGAGUGGCGGACGGGUGAGUAAUAUCUGGGGAUCUGCCUGAUGGAGGGGGAUAACCACUGGAAACGGUGGCUAAUACCGCAUGAAGUCGCGAGACCAAAGCGGGGGACCUUCGGGCCCCGCGCCAUCAGAUGAACCCAGACGGGAUUAGCUGGAAGGUGGGGUAACGGCUCACCUUGGCGACGAUCCCUAGCUGGUCUGAGAGGAUGAUCAGCCACACUGGGACUGAGACACGGCCCAGACUCCUGCGGGAGGCAGCAGUGGGGAAUAUUGCACAAUGGGGGAAACCCUGAUGCAGCCAUGCCGCGUGUAUGAAGAAGGCCUUCGGGUUGUAAAGUACUUUCAGCAGGGAGGAAGGGGUGAGGAGUAACAUGCCUUGCCAUUGACGUUACCUGCAGAAGAAGCACCGGCUAACUCCGUGCCAGCAGCCGCGGUAAUACGGAGGGUGCGAGCGUUAAUCGGAAUUACUGGGCGUAAAGGGCACGCAGGCGGUUAAUUAAGCCGGAUGUGAAAUCCCCGGGCUCAACCCGGGAACUGCAUUCGGAACUGGUUGACUGGAGUUCUGUAGAGGGGGGUGGAAUUCCACGUGUAGCGGUGAAAUGCGUAGAGAUGUGGAGGAACACCAGUGGCGAAGGCGGCCCCCUGGACAGAGACUGACGCUCAAGUGCGAAAGCGUGGGGAGCAAACAGGAUUAGAUACCCUGGUAGUCCACGCUGUAAACGAUGUCGAUUUAAAGGCUGUGGUCAUGAACUGUGGUUUUUGGAGCAAACGCGUUAAAUCGACCGCCUGGGGAGUACGGCCGCAAGGUUAAAACUCAAAUGAAUUGACGGGGGCCCGCACAAGCGGUGGAGCAUGUGGGUUUAAUUCGAUGCAACGCGAAGAACCCUUACCUGGUCUUGACAUCCACAGAAGACUGCAGAGAUGCGGUUGUGCCUUUCGGGAACUGUGAGACAGGUGCUGCAUGGCUGUCGUCAGCUCGUGUUGUGAAUGUUGGGCUAGUCCCGCACGAGCGCACCCUGUCGUUGGUGCAGCGCGUGAGGCGAACUCAGGGAGACUGCGGUGAUAACCGGAGGGAAGGGUGGGGACGCAAACGUUCAAG